rnacentral:rRNA from 1 species
CACCUGCGCCACGAGUGGGAAUCACUAUUAUUGGGCCUAAAGCGUCCGUAGCCGGCUUGAUAAAUCUUCUGUGAAAUCGUUGCGCUCAACGUAACGUCGUGCAGAAGAAACUGUCAAGCUUGGAACCGGGAGGAGUCAGAAGUAUUCCUGAGGGAGCGGUAAAAUGCUAUAAUCUCAGGAGGACUACCUGUGGCGGAGGCGUCUGACUAGAACGGAUUCGACGGUGAGGGACGAAAGCUAGGGGAGCAAACCG